UCAAAUUGAGGUCCAGAAUAAAUUAUCAUAAUGACUAAACCGAAUUAAUUAGCAACGUUUAUGCAAAAAGUUAUAUAAAAACGCACUCCCCAAAUGUGUUGGAUGUUAGUUAUUUCAACUCAGCUGAAGGAAGUGAAUCCUUUCUAAAGAUGAAAUCGAUUACUAUCGCUCUUUUAUUAAUAGCCAUAAUGGGUUUUAAGCCCAGUCAUCAAAGAUACCAACUGCGGUCGUCGUCCGGGUGAUGGCUUGCUCAUAUGCAAUAAGGGAGGCCGUGUAGGAUAUGUAUAUAAAUCAAAAACGAAUACCUGUGAAUCCAAUCCUCGCUUUUGGGGGGGAUUAUUUCUCGGAAGCAAAGUGCAAGGAAUAAGAAAAUAAUGCAUAUAGUGACAUAUUUACAGUACCCAUAUAUGCCUACUUUUUAAAGAAUAAAGUUAAAAUAAACAAGAUCUUUUUUUUAACAACGAA